CUCCCUCUUCUGUCUGGUUUGCAGAAUUCACAUCUUUUGAAAGCAGUGAUGGAAGAUGAACAUCCCUGAAAAAAUGCAGACCUGAUCAAUCACUUGACUGCACUCUACUUGAAACACUUGGACUUUGGUCAAAUAAGCAUUUGCCACUUGAUUUGUACAGCAUUACAACAAAAGUGCAACUCAAGUCUUCUCUUGAGCCUGAUUUGCAAGGUUCUUUCUGGU
rnacentral:lncRNA from 1 species